CCUACGGGAGGCAGCAGUGGGGAAUUUUGGACAAUGGGCGCAAGCCUGAUCCAGCAAUGCCGCGUGCAGGAUGAAGGCCUUCGGGUUGUAAACUGCUUUUGUACGGAACGAAAAAGUCUGCCCUAAUACGGUGGGCCCAUGACGGUACCGUAAGAAUAAGCACCGGCUAACUACGUGCCAGCAGCCGCGGUAAUACGUAGGGUGCGAGCGUUAAUCGGAAUUACUGGGCGUAAAGCGUGCGCAGGCGGUUAUAUAAGACAGAUGUGAAAUCCCCGGGCUCAACCUGGGACCUGCAUUUGUGACUGUAUAGCUAGAGUACGGUAGAGGGGGAUGGAAUUCCGCGUGUAGCAGUGAAAUGCGUAGAUAUGCGGAGGAACACCGAUGGCGAAGGCAAUCCCCUGGACCUGUACUGACGCUCAUGCACGAAAGCGUGGGGAGCAAACAGGAUUAGAUACCCUGGUAGUCCACGCCCUAAACGAUGUCAACUGGUUGUUGGGUCUUCACUGACUCAGUAACGAAGCUAACGCGUGAAGUUGACCGCCUGGGGAUACGGCCGCAAGGUUGAAACUCAAAGGAUUGACGGCUGNGAGNGCGAGACGACGACGAGGGAGGAGG
rnacentral:rRNA from 1 species